rnacentral:rRNA from 1 species
CGUUCUGUAAGCCUGUGAAGGUGUGCUGUGAGGCAUGCUGGAGGUAUCAGAAGUGCGAAUGCUGACAUAAGUAACGAUAAAGCGGGUGAAAAGCCCGCUCGCCGGAAGACCAAGGGUUCCUGUCCAACGUUAAUCGGGGCAGGGUGAGUCGACCCCUAAGGCGAGGCCGAAAGGCGUAGUCGAUGGGAAACAGGUUAAUAUUCCUGUACUUGGUGUUACUGCGAAGGGGGGACGGAGAAGGCUAUGUUGGCCGGGCGACGGUUGUCCCGGUUUAAGCGUGUAGGCUGGUUUUCCAGGCAAAUCCGGAAAAUCAAGGCUGAGGCGUGAUGACGAGGCACUACGGUGCUGAAGCAACAAAUGCCCUGCUUCCAGGAAAAGCCUCUAAGCAUCAGGUAACAUCAAAUCGUACCCCAAACCGACACAGGUGGUCAGGUAGAGAAUACCAAGGCGCUUGAGAG